rnacentral:sRNA from 1 species
GCGGCUCCCUGCCCAGUAGGUUUCAAGAGAACCUACUGGGCAGGGAGCCGCUUUUU